UUUAUUUACAUUGAAAAAAAUAAAAUAAAAAAUAUGUUAAAAAUAAAAAUUGUAUAAAAUAUAGAGAUUGAUGUUGUGAUCCACUUGAAACAAUCUAUUCGUGUGUACGAGUAAACAGCACUUUCAUGAAAUUACUGGUGGCAUUGGAGAGUGUGGUAUAGAAACUGAAUAACUCGCUUCUGUUAACGCAUAGCGUUAUGUAUAUAGAAUAUAUACAUAUACAAAGUUAAAUAGUUAGUUGUAUUGCUGAAUCCCAGUACUUCCAAUUAUCUAAUUGAAAGUAACAGUCCAACAAUCUACCCCUCGAUUUCCCCUGGUACUUGGUGGCAACAUUUAUACCCCUCUCUCACAGUGCGUUACACACUCACAAAAUACUAGUAGGGUCAUUUUGAUUCUGUAUAACUCUCACCCUUCUUCAUAUAUAUUUCUAAAUGUAACAUUCAAUAAUAAAUUGUUGUAGGUGGUUCGUGGCCAAGCGCAUUUACGACGAACGUGUGUGUGCAUUGCCUUUUUUUUGAAAAAGAAUAAGGGAUUUACUCUGUGGAAAACACUGCAGCAACCAAUGACCAUUUGCUCUAUCCCCAAUAUAUACAAAACCAAAUACCACAAACAUAGAAAAGAAACCAAAAACUUAUCGAGGAAAAAGUUUUUUGGAGUUCAUGAGUAUUGAAAAAAAUAAAUCAGAAGCUACUAAAAAUACAUGAGAUCACUUUUGUCGACCAUUAAAGUGCAGCCACAUUUUAUCGUUCAAUUAAUUGUACGUACUUAAAGUUUCUUUGAUGAUUUAACAAAAUCACCCUCGUAAAAUACAUUGGACGUAUUGGCGACAGAGAAAAGAAGAUUUUGUCGUAAUUGUAUCUUGAUUUACGAGGAGAGCAUCAUCAAGAUCUUACGAGUGCGAUACAAGGGAGAUAUUUCAUCCCCCAAUAUGCCUUGGGAAACAGAGGAUUUUAGUGUUUGAUACAGACACGCCUCUUCCAUCUGUAGACUUCUAAUCUGAAGAUUACAGUGUAUAUACAUUUAUCUUCAAGUAUUGAAUAUUGAGUCUCAAAAUAAUUCAAUAACAAAAUUGGUGAGCGUAAGGCCCUCUGUCAUAUCUCUUCUUCAUUAGACUAAAGUAUAAAUGUAUUUUCUGGCUUACUCUCCAGGGCAUAUAAAUAUAUAAAUUCAUGUUGUUCAAUAUUAUCCAUUUUGCUAACAAGUUUAAAUUUUAAAAUCAAUUCAAAUCGUGAAAUAUAUUUAACAAAAAAAUUAAGUAAUUGAUUUUAUUAAAACCAAUUGAAAAUUGGCAAAUAACUCUUGAUAAAGAGCUGUCUAUAUUUAGAUAUUGGUUUUUUUAUAAAUUCAAGAGUUUAUAAUAAAUGAAAUUGAAAAAAAAA